UGUAUACGUAGUAGCAGCAGCAGCAGCAGUAGCACACCAUUAUGAGCAGGGACCGCCGCGAUUCGUGACCGCUGCUUGUCACACACAUCGGGUAACCAGUCUUGGACGAGAACCGCCCUGCACACACUUCACGAAUGGAAGAGAAGAAGGAGAGCAAGCCUGAGCAGCAGUUACUGCAACCAGGAGAGGUUAUCAAGCCCUACGUCCCGGAGAAUGUUGCCCGCGACAUUGUCCAGCGGGUGUUCGGGUUGCAGGUCACGAAAAUCAAGGUAUGGCAUGCUACA
rnacentral:lncRNA from 1 species